AUGCCACUCACCGACCAUCUCCUUGCUUUCUCCCUUGUGAAGGCCCCUCUUCCCUUAAAGAUUAAGAUUUUUGUGUGGCAACUACUACAAGAUCGUACCCCUUCGAGGAUUAAGGUACUUAAGCAGCAUGGCCCGAGUGAUGGCUUGUGCCCCUUAUGCGCGGUACCGGAGACUGGGACUCACAUUCUAUUCCCUUGUAUGGCGGCCCGGGUCCUAUGGAUGUUCGUCCGCGAGGCACUAGGGCCCGACUAG
rnacentral:rRNA from 1 species